AAUCGGGUAUUGCACCACCAGAUGUAAACACAAGACGGUGUUUAUAUAGAGAUCGUCUGCUGUGCACGAGUAUAUCGUCUGCUAGAUAACCGAUACAUCCGGUAGUUAAGCGGACGUUAAACCUAUCAAUCAAUCAAUCAAUCAAUGUGCACGAGUACAUCUACAAUACCUACUAUACUCAACAUGGUGGACAAGGAAGACAGGUGUCAUGUCAGUUCCGGAAAUACUCUUAGAACAUGUAAUACAAGGGGCAGCCACCUGUACAGACGACAGUCAAUCUGGUACGCCUAUCAACGUAUAACCUCAACCCAGCUGUCUUGGAUGACCUUGGGU
rnacentral:misc_RNA from 1 species